GGUUAAGCGACUAAGCGUACACGGUGGAUGCCCUGGCAGUCAGAGGCGAUGAAGGACGUGCUAAUCUGCGAAAAGCGUCGGUAAGGUGAUAUGAACCGUUACAGCCGGCGAUGUCCGAAUGGGGAAACCCAGUGCAGUUCGUUGCACUAUCGUUAACUGAAUACAUAGGUUAACGAGGCGAACCGGGGGAACUGAAACAUCUAAGUACCCCGAGGAAAAGAAAUCAACCGAGAUUCCCCCAGUAGCGGCGAGCGAACGGGGAGCAGCCCAGAGUCUGAAUCAGCUUGUGUGUUAGUGGAACGGUCUGGAAAGUCCGACGGUACAGGGUGAUAGUCCCGUACACCAAAAUGCACAGGCUGUGAACUCGAAGAGUAGGGCGGGACACGUGGUAUCCUGUCUGAAUAUGGGGGGACCAUCCUCCAAGGCUAAAUACUCCUGACUGACCGAUAGUGAACCAGUACCGUGAGGGAAAGGCGAAAAGAACCCCGGCGAGGGGAGUGAAAAAGAACCUGAAACCGUGUACGUACAAGCAGUGGGAGCACCUUCGGGUGUGACUGCGUACCUUUUGUAUAAUGGGUCAGCGACUUAUAUUCUGUAGCAAGGUUAACCGUAUAGGGGAGCCGCAGGGAAACCGAGUCUUAACUGGGCGUUAAGUUGCAGGGUAUAGACCCGAAACCCGGUGAUCUAGCCAUGGGCAGGUUGAAGGUUGGGUAACACUAACUGGAGGACCGAACCGACUAAUGUUGAAAAAUUAGCGGAUGACUUGUGGCUGGGGGUGAAAGGCCAAUCAAACCGGGAGAUAGCUGGUUCUCCCCGAAAGCUAUUUAGGUAGCGCCUCGUGAAUUCAUCUUCGGGGGUAGAGCACUGUUUCGGCUAGGGGGUCAUCCCGACUUACCAACCCGAUGCAAACUACGAAUACCGAAGAAUGUUAUCACGGGAGACACACGGCGGGUGCUAACGUCCGUCGUGAAGAGGGAAACAACCCAGACCGCCAGCUAAGGUCCCAAAGUCAUGGUUAAGUGGGAAACGAUGUGGGAAGGCACAGACAGCCAGGAUGUUGGCUUAGAAGCAGCCAUCAUUUAAAGAAAGCGUAAUAGCUCACUGGUCGAGUCGGCCUGCGCGGAAGAUGUAACGGGGCUAAACCAUGCACCGAAGCUGCGGCAGCGACACUAUGUGUUGUUGGGUAGGGGAGCGUUCUGUAAGCCUGCGAAGGUGACCUGUGAGGGUUGCUGGAGGUAUCAGAAGUGCGAAUGCUGACAUAAGUAACGAUAAAGCGGGUGAAAAGCCCGCUCGCCGGAAGACCAAGGGUUCCUGUCCAACGUUAAUCGGGGCAGGGUGAGUCGACCCCUAAGGCGAGGCCGAAAGGCGUAGUCGAUGGGAAACAGGUUAAUAUUCCUGUACUUGGUGUUACUGCGAAGGGGGGACGGAGAAGGCUAUGUUAGCCGGGCGACGGUUGUCCCGGUUUAAGCAUGUAGGCUGGUUGUCCAGGCAAAUCCGGAUAAUCAAGGCUGAGGUGUGAUGACGAGGCACUACGGUGCUGAAGUAACAAAUGCCCUGCUUCCAGGAAAAGCCUCUAAGCAUCAGGUAACAUUAAAUCGUACCCCAAACCGACACAGGUGGUCAGGUAGAGAAUACCAAGGCGCUUGAGAGAACUCGGGUGAAGGAACUAGGCAAAAUGGUGCCGUAACUUCGGGAGAAGGCACGCUGGUGUGUAGGUGAAGUCCCUGCGGAUGGAGCUGAGACCAGUCGAAGAUACCAGCUGGCUGCAACUGUUUAUUAAAAACACAGCACUGUGCAAACACGAAAGUGGACGUAUACGGUGUGACGCCUGCCCGGUGCCGGAAGGUUAAUUGAUGGGGUUAUCCGUAAGGAGAAGCUCUUGAUCGAAGCCCCGGUAAACGGCGGCCGUAACUAUAACGGUCCUAAGGUAGCGAAAUUCCUUGUCGGGUAAGUUCCGACCUGCACGAAUGGCGUAAUGAUGGCCAGGCUGUCUCCACCCGAGACUCAGUGAAAUUGAACUCGCUGUGAAGAUGCAGUGUACCCGCGGCAAGACGGAAAGACCCCGUGAACCUUUACUAUAGCUUGACACUGAACAUUGAGCCUUGAUGUGUAGGAUAGGUGGGAGGCUUUGAAGCGUGGACGCCAGUCUGCGUGGAGCCAACCUUGAAAUACCACCCUUUAAUGUUUGAUGUUCUAACGUUGGCCCCUUACCGGGGUUGCGGACAGUGUCUGGUGGGUAGUUUGACUGGGGCGGUCUCCUCCCAAAGCGUAACGGAGGAGCACGAAGGUUAGCUAAUCCUGGUCGGACAUCAGGAGGUUAGUGCAAUGGCAUAAGCUAGCUUGACUGCGAGCGUGACGGCGCGAGCAGGUGCGAAAGCAGGUCAUAGUGAUCCGGUGGUUCUGAAUGGAAGGGCCAUCGCUCAACGGAUAAAAGGUACUCCGGGGAUAACAGGCUGAUACCGCCCAAGAGUUCAUAUCGACGGCGGUGUUUGGCACCUCGAUGUCGGCUCAUCACAUCCUGGGGCUGAAGUAGGUCCCAAGGGUAUGGCUGUUCGCCAUUUAAAGUGGUACGCGAGCUGGGUUUAGAACGUCGUGAGACAGUUCGGUCCCUAUCUGCCGUGGGCGCUGGAGAAUUGAGGGGGCUGCUCCUAGUACGAGAGGACCGGAGUGGACGCAUCACUGGUGUUCGGGUUGUCAUGCCAAUGGCACUGCCCGGUAGCUAAAUGCGGAAGAGAUAAGUGCUGAAAGCAUCUAAGCACGAAACUUGCCCCGAGAUGAGUUCUCCCUGAGACUUUAAGUCUCCUGAAGGAACGUUAAAGACGAUGACGUUGAUAGGCCGGGUGUGUAAGCGCAGCGAUGCGUUGAGCUAACCGGUACUAAUGAACCGUGAGGCUUAACCUU
rnacentral:rRNA from 1 species